rnacentral:rRNA from 1 species
GAGUGAUCAUUACGCGUAGGGAUGUGAGGCUGCACCGUCCAACAGGCGGCAAGGCUGGAGUAUUUUAUUACCCUUGUCUUUUGCGCACUUGUUGUUUCCUGGGCGGGUUCGCCCGCCUCCAGGACCACAUGAUAAACCUUUUUUAUGCAGUUGCAAUCAGCGUCAGUACAACAAAUGUAAAUCAUUUACAACUUUCAACAACGGAUCUCUUGGUUCUGGCAUCGAUGAAGAACGCAGCGAAAUGCGAUACGUAGUGUGAAUUGCAGAAUUCAGUGAAUCAUCGAAUCUUUGAACGCACAUUGCGCCCUUUGGUAUUCCAAAGGGCAUGCCUGUUCGAGCGUCAUUUGUACCCUCAAGCUUUGCUUGGUGUUGGGCGUUUUUUGUCUUUGGUUUUGUCCAAAGACUCGCCUUAAAACGAUUGGCAGCCGGCCUACUGGUUUCGCAGCGCAGCACAUUUUUGCGCUUGCAAUCAGCAAAAGAGGACGGCACUCCAUCAAGACUCUAUAUCACUUUUGACCUCGGAUCAGGUAGGGAUACCCGCUGAACUUAAGCAUACAUA